GUCUGCCAACAGUGGCCAAUGCCAGGUGCCCCAGAGGGAGUGAACCUAACAGGGGCAAUACCCUACUGAGAAGCCUGACCUUCAGCCCCUGCUACUGGAAAGAGGGAAGGUGCUAUGCUUGGACCCUGCUUGUGUUCCAGCUACUAUAUCAGCUACUCCAACAAGAGAAGUUCUAAGAUUACCUGUUUGCAGACUCAGAAAGACUUCAAAUGUAGGACAAAAAACAACUUUUAAAAAACCUUCAAACCUGAAAGCUUAAAAUCUGCAGUUGAAACUGAGUUGAUGGCUCAGUUUCACCCACCCCUAACUUGUAAAUUUUCUAACACGGCUGCUACUCUGAAACCUGUUCUCCAAUCGUAAUCUGGAAAGUGGAUUUUGUAAAGCUCUGAUUUGCACUGAAUAUAGAGCACAUAUUGUACCGGUUCCUUAGAUGGAUAGAGCACCACCCACUUUAAAAGCAAAUCAAAAUAAUUUUCUUAUAGCAUGGUUUAUCUU